rnacentral:rRNA from 1 species
GCUUGUCUCAAAGAUUAAGCCAUGCAUGUCUAAGUAUAAACAUCUUUAUACUGUGAAACUGCGUACAGCUCAUUAUAUCAGUAAUUAUUUAUUUGAUGGUCACUUACUACAUGGAUAACCGUAGUAAUUCUAGAGCUAAUACAUGCGUAAAAUCCCGACUCUCGCGGGGAGGGAUGUAUUUAUUAGAUAAGAAACCUUCCCCUUUGGGUUGCGUGCCGAGUCACAAUAACUGCUCGAAUCGCAUGGCUUCACGCCGGCGAUGGUUCAUUCAAAUUUCUGCCCUAUCAGCUUUCGAUGGUAGGAUCGAGGCCUACCAUGGCGUUUACGGGUAACGGAGAAUUAGGGUUCGAUUCCGGAGAGGGAGCCUGAGAGAUGGCUACCACAUCCAAGGAAGGCAGCAGG